AGCUGGUAAAUACGGUACUGUUACUGUAUGGACGCUAAUGUAAUGUAACUGUAAGGCCUUGCUGCCCCCUCUCUGUGCCCUGGCUCGCUGAUUGUGUAGAUGGCAGACACACUGAGCGCUUAAAACCAGUCUGGAGAGAGGUAGAGGCAGGGUGGGUUAAGGAGAGAGGGACUGGGGAGUGAGGAUAGAGCCAGGGUGGGUUAAGGAGGAGAGAGAGCCAGGGUGGGUUAAGGAAAAGGGACUGGGGAGUGAGAUAGAGCCAGGGUGGGUUAAGGAGAAAGGGACUGGGGAGUGAGAUAGAGCCAGGGUGGGUUAAGGAGAAAGGGACUGGGGAGUGAGAUAGACCAGGGUGGGUUAAGGAGAAAGAUAGAGCCAGGGUGGGUUAAGGAGAGAGAUAGAGCCAGGGUGGGUUAAGGAGAGAGGGACUGGGGAAUGAGAUAGAGCCGGGUGGGUUAAGGAGAGAAUAGAGCCAGGGUGGGUUAAGGAGAGAGGUAGAGCCAGGGUGGUUGUUAAGGAGAAAGAUAGAGCCAGGGGUGGGUUAAGGAGAGAGAUAGAGCCAGGGUGGGUUAAGGAGAGCGAUAGCAGGGUGGUUAAGGAGAGAGUAGAGCCGGGUGGGUAGGAGCGGAGGGACUGGGGAGUGAG
rnacentral:lncRNA from 1 species